rnacentral:lncRNA from 1 species
UUUCUACUGUUGACCUCAGACACAAUCAGUUCGUUUUGGUGUGAAUUCGAUUAAUCUGUGCUGAUGCUAACUGAUGUUGGUUGCUAGUGAACUGUGAUCGGUGACUUGGGCGUUGCAACCAAUGUGAUAGUGUUAAGUUUUCAGAGUUGCACUGCGUUCAGAGUUGCUCAUGCACAUUGCAUUGCCGUUACUAGGUCUUCAGAAUGUUUUGAAGAUUUUGCAAGCCGGAUCGUUUCAUUUCUACGGUUCGGUUUUGGAUCAAG